rnacentral:misc_RNA from 1 species
GAUGAAGAACGUAGCGAAAUGCGAUAAGUAAUGUGAAUUGCAGAAUUCAGUGAAUCAUCGAAUCUUUGAACGCACAUUGCGCCCGCCAGUAUUCUGGCGGGCAUGCCUGUUCGAGCGUCAUUUCAACCAUCAAGCCCCAGGCUUGUGUUGGGGACCUGCGGCUGCCGCAGGCCCUGAAAACCAGUGGCGGGCUCGCUGUCACACCGGGCGUAGUAGAUUUUAUCUCGCUCAGGGCGUGCUGCGGGUCCCGGCCGUUAAAAGCCUUUUUUUACCCAAGGUUGACCUCGGAUCAGGUAGGAAGACCCGCUGAACUUAAGCAUAUCAAUAAGCGGAGGAA